CCACAGGGGAAAAGAGACACCAGACGUGGGAGGGCUCAUCCCACUUGUCCUCUACCCAGGGCCACUUUCUACUUCCUGCAUAUGACACCUAAUUCACGGUGUCCUCCAACUUAAUUUCUUGUCCAGUGUUGCUUAACUUCAUCUGGCCAUUUCUCUACUUUUUGCUUCCGGAUAUGAAGGAUGGACCCUUUCUUCCUCCCCAAAGCCUUGCUCCUUUCCAAAGUUUCCUCAUUGUCUUCUGGAGGUCCCCCACCCCCAACUGGGAUCCUGGGGCAAAAGUACUGCCUCUCCUCCCCCUCCUCUGCCUCCUUCCCCUCUCUGCCUGCCCAGCCAAGCUGCUGUGAAGUCGCAUCUCCCUUCCAAGUCUCAGUUCCUUCCAAGCAAUGUUACAAGCACAUGAAAGCCAAGGCCCAGGCAGUUACUGCCCCUGGCACUUUUUUGUGCUUCCUCUAAAUGACGCUUCCCAAAAGGAGAAUGAAAACGUGGAGCAGGAGUGAACCCAUGGUCUCUGGGUCAGGAUGGUGUCAAAUAUUUGGGGAUGAGACCCUUAAGAAGAAUCAGGGAGGCAGGUUGGAAGGAGUCAGGAGUCAGAAUCCUCAGAAACAAAGCAGAAGACAUCACCAGAAGGAAUCUGAAUCUUUGAUCCCCACUUAUUCCCAGUCUGCAGGAUCCAGAAAAGUUUAUGGUGUAUUCCUCUUCGCUUCCCCGCCUGUCCCGGCCCGCACACUUCUCUGCCCACGUCUUGGUGACGUCACCAGCACCGCGGGAAAAUUCCAGAGAACCUCCCCACUCUGUGGAGCUUCGGGAUUCAAGCUGUCUGGAGUCAGGGCCAAAGUUUCCUACCCUUGUGAGAUGCUUAUAGAAACCUGCACUCGUGACCUCAGGGUCUGCUUCAAGGCUGCUGUGAUGAUUGAAACGGCGUGUGUGACUUUAGAGAGUGCUGUGUAAACCUGGCAUGCGACGAGCAUGGUGAGCGGAACGUGAGUCUCUCCUACCACCCCUGGGGUGCAACUCCUUCCCGACUUCAACUGUUGUUUGCAAAGCUGGGAUCGUCCUUGCGAGCCUGGAGAGGGGAAACAUCUCAUCAUGGUGGUUCAAUGAGGAUGUUUUUGGCUGAUCAGCAACCCCGUGCAGUUCUCCUCCAAGCUGUGACUCAGGGAUCCGGGUUUCUUCCAUCUGGUGGCUUUGCCGUGCCCUAAGCCCUCGUCAGAGUCUUCUCCUGGAGCGGGAGCUUUGCGUUCGGCCAGAUGGCAAGCUAAGAGAGAGCAGGGAAAUUGCAUGGGCUGUUUCAGGAUCCAGGCUUGGAAGUGGCAUCCAUCAGUGCCACCCGUGUCCUACUGGCAAGGCACGGUCACACUGCAACACUGGCAAGGCAUGGUCACACUUGGAUGCAACAAGUCCGCAGAUGGUCUCUAUGGUCUUGUGUGGCCGAAAAGAAAACAAGCUAGUUGGCGCAUACAUACCUAUGUGUCUGUCAUAGUACCUUAUGAAGACAACCCCUCUUAUAACAACCUAGAACACUUAAGCCCACUGAAACAGAGGGAGUGCCUGCACACCCGAAAGAAAGCCGGUGAUAGAUGAACCAUCCCUUCGCUGUUCCCAGCACCCCCGUACUGGGUUGGGCUAAUAAAGAGCCAUUUCAAGAUACUCGCAGCCCAUUCCCAACUGACACUUUUAAUCAUAAAAAAGUGGAGAUGUCAUUUCUACUCGAACAAAACCUAUUUUCCUCUUCUUCCACCUACAGGAAUUUCAUUACUGAGACCGCAUUUCCCAACAGGUACAGAGAGCCUGUCAAAUCAUAAGAGACUCUUAAGGACUGAGAACAGCCUGAGGGUUGAUGGGGGGCGUGGGGGAGAGGAGAGAGUGGGUGAUGGGCAUGGAGGAGGGCACUUGUUGGGAUGAGCACUGGGUGUUGUAUGGAAACCAAUUUGACAGUAAAUUAUAUUAAAAAACAACAACAACAACAUACUGCAGUGAUGGGAGGAACUGAAAAACAGAUCAUUUGCACCUGCUUGGCCCUUUCCAAGGAGGAAUUCCUGCCAGCCCUGCCUGUUCAAAUUCUACCCGUCCACUGGGGGCACACAUAUCUCAGGACCUAAGAUUCCUUUCCUUACUGCUCAGCCCAUAGAGAUCCUAUCCCUUUCUGCCUUACAAAACACUGAUUAUUUUUGUUACUAUCAUUUGAGAUUUGGUUGUCGUUUGUAUUGAAUUCCACAUCUUCGUGCAACAAUUACCAACUAAGCAUACCGGGUUCCGGACUAAAGGAUUCAGAGAUAAUAAAAGGGAAACAGCCUUCCUGGAAUCUGCAGCCCAGUGAAGAAGGCAAAUGAACUUUCUGUAAAUCUGAGUGUUCUGGAGCUUGCAGGCAAAAACAAAACGUCUUGGAGAUUCAGAUGGGAGAGCAGUCUUCCUGAAUGUGAGUGAGGAUGCAUUGGUGCAUUUGAAUUCGGACUUUGAAGAGUGCAAAAGACCCUAACAAGUAGAGUCUGGGGAGUGCGUUCCAGGGGAAGACAAGAACGGGCAAAGUCACCAAAGGUGUUGGAACAUUUCAGAACAGGCAGGUUAUUCUGUAUGGCUGGAGAUAAAGCUGCAAAGGUGAGAAUCAGUUAGGAUUCUUUGAGCUGCAAGUAAUAAAACCAUGUCUCAAACAGG